UUCCUUCUGAAUAUAACUAAUUAUCUCGUUGUUUUCUGUUUGUACAUCGAUGAGUCUAUAUGAUUAAUAUCUACCAGGAGUCAAAACCAUGUAUCGAGGAGAUUAGUUACAUGUUCCUAUUAAACUAAGUCUGCUUGUUUAAUUUGAAAUUAAGAGCAUAUAUAUAUAAGAACCGGUUAUGGCAUCUCAGAAACUUUGUUCAUGUACUGUGUAUAACAAUUACUAGGAACGAAAGAAUAUAGGUACAAUAGGUAAAUGAAGCUUUAGUGAAAAUUAGAAUAGAGUCAUUAUUUGAUGCAUAAUCCCUUCUCG
rnacentral:lncRNA from 1 species